rnacentral:lncRNA from 1 species
UCAAUACAUGUUUAAUAACCCUCUUGAUGGAUGAAACUGCUUCCUUUCAUUCGAUCCUUGCUGUUUUGUUUUUUUGUUCUUCUCUCAAUCGUCCACCUUUCCGCCUAAAGAUUCGUAUCACACCCUCUGCUUUACAAUGAUAAUUAAAAUACACUUCCCAUUCGACAAACAAAUAAUAAUAAACGGAAGCACAAAGUUUGAGCACCCACAGUCCCACACAAGUCUUUCGUUCUUAGUGAUCUGCAGCUAGUCUCUGUCAUCAUUCAGCGCAUAUUUUUGGUUGACGAUGCUCUUAAUCUUUUGUUGAAUCAACUCUAAACUAUUAGGUUAAUUAUAGGCAGCAUGCACUCACGGCUGCCCAUGAUGCCAAAUGAGUGAAGUCUUGCUUGAUUGUGGAUGUGUCUGCGAUUCCUUUCUUUUUUGACUAAUAAUUAGUAGCUGCAAUUCAAUUCAGCUACUUUCUACGUUCGGUGUCUACAUUUUCUAGCCCAAGAAAGCAUGAACCGCUCCCAGAUUCACAACGGCGGCCGUUGCAGCGGCGUGGUGGAGCCUUGUAGAACCCAGAUAGGUUGGUAAAACAAGGGAUAGAGGAGGUGUAGCCUC